AUUCUACCUCCAUGGCUUAUAUUGUUUACAGUCUUAUCAUUAACACCAGAAAGGCAGCCCCGUGUGUCUGUGGGCCUCUCGCCGCCUCCUAGGACACCCAAAUAAGAAAAAAAGUCCCUCGGUGUAGUUAAGAAACGCUCCCCAGCGCUUAGUGGAGUUAAAGAAGUAGCAGAGCUUAUGUGCCUAAAUGAAAAAGGAAUCUGUAAAAUAAAGAACUACCUCAGAAGUAUAUACCUGAAAAUACCAUGAUAUUCAAAUGGGGUAGUGCCAUGAAGGUCAGAGGCAUAGUGUUUCCUGUUAAAGAGAUGAACUGUCUCAGUCAUGCUGCUGUGUAAAAGACAAAAAGUGAAUACUUGAUAUGAAGAAUGAAGUUGUGUUGAGAGGCAGGAAGCCUCCUCCUACCAUGUGCACAAUAUAGUUGCUGCAAGAGGCAUCUGUUGAAGUGGAGCCACUGGUAGGAGUUUGUCUGCUGUUCCUGCUUGGGCAACAUCUUCACCAUUGAGUGUCACACACAUCCUGCCUCCACCAUCUCCUUCAAGGACCAAGAUGAGGAAGACAAGUUUACACGAGGCUUUCUUAAGUCAAGAUUACUUGGCUGGGGAAAGGUCUGUACGGAGACACACAGUGAGUGUGCCUAACUCUCUCGAGGGUGGUGGUGGCGAGUAUCGAACUGUUCCGGUCAUAGGAAGACCAAGGCCACUCCCAGCCGUUGGGUGUAAUGUCCCAGGGAUGGGGAUGAUGGAUAACUGGGGCCUCAGAGCUCAUCACAGCUUGCAAGUCCGUU